UCUGUCCCAUAUGAGUUGAUAAAGAGAGUUCAACAAAAUGUUUCUUAGUAUACUAGAACUAUAGGUUCGUACCAGUUUCUAAAGGAAGAACUGGUGUUUCUGAUCACCUCUCAAGAAAAAGCAUCCUUGUCAUUAGCAGGAUUUGAUUGGGCCUAGUGGAGGGAAGGGUAACGGAAGGGAAAGAGGGAAAAUGAUACUUUAUUGUUAAUUUAUUUCGACUAUAUACAAAGUUAGACUAUAUACCAACAUUAUGAAAGUUAAUGUGGUGCUCAUUAUGGAAAGUUCACUGCAAACCAUUAAUGGGUUCUUAACCUGCUACAAAGGUAUGUUAUUCAGAUUUCUAAUAAAAUCCAUGAUUUAAGAAUAUGCUCUUUUGUCUGUUAGCCUUUUUUUCAUUAUUUUUCUAACUGAAAUCACAGUCCAUGGGGAAUCUUUGCUGCUGCUUCUGAUAAUUUCACCUCAAAAGCAGGAGAAGCUUCCUCAGGGGACCAAAAUGAUAAUGGAACAAGUUUAGGGGAUGCACUACUUAAAUGUGUCAAGGAUGCCACAUUUUCAUCUAUCAAAGAUCUUCAAAUAUUUUCUGGUGGUGCUGAUAUCAAGGUUUCAUAAUAUUUUCAACCUCUUUCUACAAAUUCGGAGACAAUUACAAACAUCAACUUUGGGGACUCAAUCUCUGCCAGUACUACUAGUACUAUGCACCUAGUGUAUCACGCGUUCAACCUUCAUCAACAAACUCUCAGUUUCCAUCUCAAAAAUUGUCAACUCCAAACCAGGAAAAUGAUAUAUUGGUUGAUGGUUUUCUAGCUUCUUGACCUACACAAUCGAGGGUUAGUAUGUAUGGUUAAUCUAUGCAGCCAAGUUUUAAUCCAUAUAGUCAACCGUCACAACCCGAUGCUAAUCAUUGCGGCCAACACUCAUAGCCAAAUACUAAUCCAUAUAUUCAAUGGAGACAAGUCAUUUUGCUAUAACCCAUGAAUAAAUCCGUUCAGGUUAGACUCGGCCCAAUUUUUUGUAGCCCAAAUCAAGAACCCCUCUUGUCAGUUUGUUUAUUUUGUCUAUAGACCCGAUUGUUUGAUUGGCCUGGACCUAAUCGCCAAGCCCAUUUGACUCAAUUGAAUUGAGUUUUGAC